CUUGCCACGAUGUGAAAGUUGUAGUAUCAUACCACUCAAUGUUGGUAAGCCACCAUCCUCACUCAUGCCUUCUCCCAAACUUCUUCAAGUAGAUCCAAGUUGGCCUAGAGCAUCUCCACAUUACUUUGGCCAGUAUAGUUCUCGACCUACAGAGAUGGGAGUCCGAUUUUCACUAGAAUGACUUCUUCCAUUUUGAAGGAGAGGCUAAAAGAAAUCUCUCCCGUGGGUAUUCUUUGAAUGGUUCGAUAGAUCCAAAGUACAUUAUGCAGUUCAUCCACCCA
rnacentral:lncRNA from 1 species